UUAAAGUGAAGAGUUUGAUCCUGGCUCAGAUUGAACGCUGGCGGCAUGCCUAACACAUGCAAGUCGAACGGUAACGCGGAGAGCUUGCUCUCUGGCGACGAGUGGCGGACGGGUGAGUAACGCGUAGGAAUCUGCCCAGUAGUGGGGGACAACCCGGGGAAACUCGGGCUAAUACCGCAUACGCCCCAAGGGGGAAAGAUGGCCUCUUCAUGAAAGCUAUCGCUAUUGGAUGAGCCUGCGUCGGAUUAGCUGGUUGGUGGGGUAAAGGCCUACCAAGGCGACGAUCCGUAGCUGGUCUGAGAGGACGAUCAGCCACACUGGGACUGAGACACGGCCCAGACUCCUACGGGAGGCAGCAGUGGGGAAUAUU
rnacentral:rRNA from 1 species